rnacentral:tRNA from 1 species
UGAGAAGUAGCUCAGAUGGUUAGAGCGCAGGUCUGAUAAACCUGAGGUCGUGAGUUCAAUUCUCACCUUCUCAACCA